CUGAGCAUGACGUCCUAUGGUCUGGAAUCUCCCUCUGGUCAGCUGGGGUCGGCUGUCCCAGCUGUGUCCCCUCCCAACUUCUUGUGCCCCCCCAGCCUGCUCGCUGGUGGGGCAGUUCAGGAAACAGAGCCA